GACGGGGGAUGCAAGUGUUAUCCGGAAUAAUUGGGCGUAAAGCGUCUGUAGGUGGUUUACCAAGUCUGUUGUUAAAAUCCAGGGCUUAACCCUGAUCCGGCAACAGAAACUAGUAAGCUUGAGUACGGUAGGGGCAGAGGGAAUUCUCGGUGUAGUGGUGAAAUACGUAGAUAUCGAGAAGAACACCAAUAGCGAAAGCACUCUGCUGGGCCGAAACUGACAUUGAGAGACGAAAGCUAGGGGAGCGAAAGGG
rnacentral:rRNA from 1 species